UACGAAGGGGGCGAGCGUUGUUCGGAUUUACUGGGCGUAAAGGGCGCGCAGGCGGCGCAUUUUGUCAGGCGUGAAAGCCCCGGGCUUAACCUGGGAACUGCGUUUGAUACGGAUGGGCUAGAGUUCGGGAGAGGAGAGUGGAAUUCCCAGUGUAGAGGUGAAAUUCGUAGAUAUUGGGAAGAACACCGGUGGCGAAGGCGGUUCUCUGGGACGGUACUGACGCUGAGACGCGAAAGCGUGGGGAGCGAACAGG
rnacentral:rRNA from 1 species